GAUGAACGCUGGCGGCGUGCCUAAUACAUGCAAGUCGAGCGAACGGACGAGAAGCUUGCUUCUCUGAUGUUAGCGGCGGACGGGUGAGUAACACGUGGAUAACCUACCUAUAAGACUGGGAUAACUUCGGGAAACCGGAGCUAAUACGGAUAAUAUUUUGAACCGCAUGGUUCAAAAGUAAAAGACGGUCUUGCUGUCACUUAUAGAUGGAUCCGCGCUGCAUUAGCUAGUUGGUAAGGUAACGGCUUACCAAGGCAACGAUGCAUAGCCGGCCUGAGAGGGUGAUCGGCCACACUGGAACUGAGACACGGUCCAGACUCCUACGGGAGGCAGCAGUAGGGAAUCUUCCGCAAUGGGCGAAAGCCUGACGGAGCAACGCCGCGUGAGUGAUGAAGGUCUUCGGAUCGUAAAACUCUGUUAUUAGGGAAGAACAUAUGUGUAAGUAACUGUGCACAUCUUGACGGUACCUAAUCAGAAAGCCACGGCUAACUACGUG
rnacentral:rRNA from 1 species